GGCCUAACACAUGCAAGUCGAGGGGUAACAGAGAGAAGCUUGCUUUUCUGCUGACGACCGGCGCACGGGUGCGUAACGCGUAUACAAUCUGCCUUAUACAGAGGGAUAGCCUUUAGAAAUGAAGAUUAAUACCUUAUAGUCUAUUUUUAUAGCAUUAUAUAAAUAGUAAAGCUUCGGUGGUAUAAGAUGAGUAUGCGUCCUAUUAGUUAGUUGGUAAGGUAACGGCUUACCAAGACAACGAUAGGUAGGGGCCCUGAGAGGGGGAUCCCCCACACUGGUACUGAGACACGGACCAGACUCCUACGGGAGGCAGCAGUGAGGAAUAUUGGACAAUGGAGGCAACUCUGAUCCAGCCAUGCCGCGUGCAGGAUGACGGCCCUAUGGGUUGUAAACUGCUUUUAUAUAGGAAGAAACCUUUUCACGUGUGAGAAGCUGACGGUACUAUAAGAAUAAGGACCGGCUAA
rnacentral:rRNA from 1 species